rnacentral:rRNA from 1 species
UACGAAGGGGGCUAGCGUUGUUCGGAUUUACUGGGCGUAAAGCGCACGUAGGCGGAUCGUUAAGUCGGGGGUGAAAUCCUGGAGCUCAACUCCAGAACUGCCUUCGAUACUGGCGAUCUAGAGUCCGGAAGAGGUGAGUGGAACUGCGAGUGUAGAGGUGAAAUUCGUAGAUAUUCGCAAGAACACCAGUGGCGAAGGCGGCUCACUGGCCCGGUACUGACGCUGAGGUGCGAAAGCGUGGGGAGCAAACAGG